rnacentral:rRNA from 1 species
ACAGCAGCCGCCACGGUAAUACGGAGGAUCCAAGCGUUAUCCGGAAUCAUUGGGUUUAAAGGGUCCGUAGGCGGUCUUGUAAGUCAGUGGUGAAAGCCCAUCGCUCAACGGUGGAACGGCCAUUGAUACUGCAGGACUUGAAUUAUUGGGAAGUAACUAGAAUAUGUAGUGUAGCGGUGAAAUGCUUAGAGAUUACAUGGAAUACCAAUUGCGAAGGCAGGUUACUACCAAUUGAUUGACGCUGAUGGACGAAAGCGUGGGUAGCGAACAGGAUUAGAUACCCGUGUAGUCCCUGUCUCUUAUAC